rnacentral:rRNA from 1 species
CGCCUGCCCANUGARUUUUCAACGGCCGNGGUACCCUAACCGCGCGAAGGUAGCGUAAUCACUUGUUCUUUAAAUGGGGACUUGUAUCAAUGGCAUCACGAGGGUUACACUGUCUCCUCUUUCCAAUCAGUGAAAUUGAUCUUCCCGUGAAGAAGCGGGAAUAUAACUAUAAGACGAGAAGACCCCAUGGAGCUUUAAAUCACGCAGCAACUUAAAUACACAACCCCUCAUAUUCUGUAAGACCGUGCUGCAACGUUUUAGGUUGGGGUGACCACGGAGUAAAAUCAAACCUCCACGACGAAAAGGCAAUAAUCUUUAUUUAUGAACUACUGUUCUAAAAAUUAGCACACUAACGGAUAAUGAUCCGAUAAUCGAUCAACGGACCAAGUUACCCUGGGGAUAACAGCGCAAUCUACUUUGAGAGCUCAUAUCGACAANUNNGCUUACGACCUCNAUGUUGGAUCAGGGUAUCCCGGUGGUGCAGCCGCUACCGAAGGUUCGUUUGUUCANCGAUUAAAACCCUACGUGAUCUGA